rnacentral:rRNA from 1 species
GAUGAACGCUGGCGGCGUGCCUAAUACAUGCAAGUCGAGCGAACGGACGAGAAGCUUGCUUCUCUGAUGUUAGCGGCGGACGGGUGAGUAACACGUGGAUAACCUACCUAUAAGACUGGGAUAACUUCGGGAAACCGGAGCUAAUACCGGAUAAUAUUUUGAACCGCAUGGUUCAAAAGUGAAAGACGGUCUUGCGGUCACUUAUAGAUGGAUCCGAGCUGCAUUAGCUAGUUGGUAAGGUAACGGCUUACCAAGCCAACGAUGCAUAGCCGACCUGAGAGGGUGAUUGACCACACUGGAACUGAGACACGGUCCAGACUCCUACGGGAGGAAGCAGUAGGGAAUCUUACGCGAUGGGGGAAAGCCUGACGGAGCGACGCGGCGUGAGUGAUGAAGGUCUCAGGAUCGUAAAAUUAUGUUAGUAGGGAAGAACAUAUGUGUAAGUACCUGGGAACAUCUUGACGGUACCUAAUCAGAAAGCCCCGGCUAACUACGUG